GUUUGUUCAAACAACUCCCGAAGUUACACUAAUUAACACUAAUGAACACUGAAAAAUAUGUCUCUGAAAAAUUAACACUUAAUAACACUGUCAAUUUUACUGUGUGGUAUCCAAAUGAUAGCUCAGA